AUUCCAGUGAGGUCUGUGCAUUCACUCACGAUCUUGCUUUCCGUUUUACUGAAUUAGUGAUUUUCGAUAACAGCCCCUUCUCUUCGGGACAGGUGUUUCGGUGAUAUCCCUCUAAGUAUGGAUUCUGUUAAUAAUGGUUUUGGAAGUGCCAGGAUGACCGGGUCAAUGGAGGGUGCCACCGGUGGAACCCUGCCCCCUGGUCUCACUGAAGAGGAAGCAGAGGAGUUGAGAGUGGAACUCACUAAGGUGGAGGAUGAGAUUCAGACUUUAAGGCAGGUCUUGGCUGCUAAGGAGAGGCAUGCUGGAGACAUCAAAAGACAACUGGGUAUCAGUCCGCUCAACGAGAUCAAACAGAACAUCUCAAAGGGAUGGCAGGAUGUCCAGUCCUCCAAUGCCUAUUUGCAAACCAAAGAGAAACUUGGACAGUGGAAUGAAAGCAUUACCCACUCAAAUGCUUACCUUACAGCCUCUGCCACUCUGGACGACAUAAGCCAAUCUGACGCGUAUAAGAAGACCCAGGAGACUCUCUCCCAGGCAGGCCAGGUGACCUCUGCAGCCUUGUCCAGCAUGGGUGCAGCCAUCAGCGAGAGAAUUGGGACCAUGAGGGCUCUGCCCUUUUAUAACACGCCUAGACUUGGUUACUCCGUGCAUCACUCCUUAAGUAUGCCAUCUAUGAGAAAAGUGAGGUUGUGAUGUUCAGUCUGAUAUGAAGAAACAUUACUACAAACUACUAACGAGACAGAGAGACUUGUUGCCAUACGUGUUCCCUUUGCUCUUCGCAGGAGCUCGCCCUCCUUCAGGUCCUUUGAAGACCGGGUAGGAAGCCUGAGGAAGUAACAAGGACCCAGCUCUCUCUCCUUUCACUCCUGAUAAAGAACAAGCUAGCCUGUGCCCGGUGACAUGGUGAAGGAUAUCUGAUGGUAUCAAGCCCUGCAGUGAAAACACCCCUCGAUAACCUCUUAACUGCACUCCUUAAACCAGCUGUUGUGAAUGUACUAAUACAUUUGUAUACGGAAAAGGGACAAGCACAACUGAACUGUCUUCGAUAAAAUCAACUCUAGAGAUAUAUUUAUUUUUGUUAAUUUCUGUACAGUUCACUUUUAAUGCUGCACCGCCUUAAUGAUAUGAAAUCUAUGCUCAGAUUUUGCAGCAGAAGUUAAAAUACGUUGUCCAAACCUAAUGUCUAAGCUAAGCCAAGAACAUCCUGGAUGACACUAUUUGUCAGUCACAAGAAUAUUUCUCUGAAAGAAAUCUGAAUUCUAGUUGUUUUUACCGUGAAUUAACAUUGGAGUUGGUCUGGCAUAUACUCCCCUUUAGUAUCAGUCUGUGUUUCCGUUUAUAUUUGGAAAGGAACGUUGUGGCCCUUCUUAUAAAUGUAGUUUUACAAUCUACCCUGUCUGCUUUGUGGCUUGAAUGUUUAAUGAUACAUGUUAUUAGACUUUGCAGACCUCAGACUGUUGUGAAUGCUCUGCCCUUUGCCAUUGCUGCUCCUAAUCCAGGAUCAGUCUUCAAGGGCAUUUUAAAACCACCAGACUAUUUACACGCUUACAAAAGACCCACCGCAGCAAUUGACAUUUGUAGCCUCUGUAGACAUUGUUACAUGUUUAUAUUGAAUGUAAGAUGUCUCAUUAAUGACUUGGAUUGAUUGGCAGUAAAAAAAGGGCUAUAGUUGGCAAGCCACAUUGUGGUCUUGAACCAAAUGUUUUUUUAAAACACUAGUGAUACUACAUUGUCUGAAAUCAGAUACAGGGCUCAUUCAACCAUUCGUUUUACACUCAUUUAUUUGCAUGAAGCAAUUUGUUAUGCUCCCACUGUGAUGUCAGAAGAGCAGGAUGGUUUAUUCUAUGCAAAAACCUGGUCACAGUAACUUUAAAUGUCUGAAUGCACAAUAGGGCUUUUCUUUUCUUUUGAGGGUGGCAAGAUUAUAUUUGCCAGAAUUUAUGUUACAACCUGGUGUUUGUUUCUCAUUGUAGAUUGUCUUUUGUGUUAUUGUGGAGAAGCUGUAUCAGACUAUUGUCAGAAAAUGAAGUGACGUUAACUCUCAGAACAUUUAAGGAAUAGUUAAAAUACACAUUGCAAUAGCGGCCUUGGGUGCAUUUGUGGGAACUACAUUUUGCAUAAGCACUCAGUUUAACAGGUCAAGUGUCUGAUGUAAGGUCGGGUGGGUUGUGUCAUGAUCAAUGGCCAUGGGGAUCACAUUUUAAUUAUGAUAGUACUAGUAUACAUAUAUUCAUUUUUGACAGUACUUUGAUUCAAGUUACAAUGGAUAUUUAUUGCUUUUGGUGACUUCAAUAAAGGAUAGAAAAAAGUA